ACGGGAGGCAGCAGUGAGGAAUAUUGGUCAAUGGGCGGAAGCCUGAACCAGCCAAGUAGCGUGCAGGAUGACGGCCCUAUGGGUUGUAAACUGCUUUUGUGCGGGGAUAAAAAGCGGGACGUGUCCCGCCUUGUAGGUACCGCAAGAAAAAGGACCGGCUAAUUCCGUGCCAGCAGCCGCGGUAAUACGGAAGGUCCGGGCGUUAUCCGGAUUUAUUGGGUUUAAAGGGAGCGUAGGCGGAUUAUCAAGUCAGUGGUAAAAUCGUGUGGCCCAACCAUACCUCGCCAUUGAAACUGUUAGUCUUGAGUGCACGCAGGGAUGCUGGAAUUCGUUGUGUAGCGGUGAAAUGCUUAGAUAUGACGAAGAACUCCGAUCGCGAAGGCAGGUGUCUGGAGUGCAACUGACGCUGAGGCUCGAAAGUGCGGGUAUCAAACAGGAUUAGAUACCCUGGUA
rnacentral:rRNA from 1 species